rnacentral:misc_RNA from 1 species
AUAAUCGAAGGUUUGUUCGCGUCGCACACUCCACAUGCUCCUAUUUGUCCCAAUGUGUUUCAAUCCGUUUGCGUCACCGGAAACUAUAUGGCGACCAAGCGUUCGCGUCGCAUUGCAUCCUCAAGCAUUCCUCAAGGAAGUAGGAGUGUGAUUCAUUUACCCCAGCUUCGGAGGUGGUGCAGUUUGGGCAGAAACAGUUUUGUCAUGAGUGCAUGCAUAAUCAUUAGUUUACUUUUGCAAAGAAGAAUGCAAAAAAGUACGACUAAAUUAAGAAAACGUGUAUUAAAUAUUCAGUCUUCAGCAAGACAAACAAUCCAUAAUGGCUGAAUCUAAUCAGAAAAUUAUGAUAGCACACCCGAAUGCUAAUUCUUUAAUAACAGGAUCUAUGAUUCCAAAGAACUCAGCUAUAAAAGUCAUGCCAAAAAUAUUGUCAUUUAAAUUAGUUAAGCCUCAAACACCAAAUAUUUCUGCCGUAACUCACACAACGGACUUAACACAAUACUUAACCACAGUGCCUUUGAUGAAUAAGAUGAGUCCUUCCAGUAUUCAGUUGCAUGAAAGUCCUUCCAUUACAGCAACAAGCUCUACGCAGCAUACAGAUACAAUUAUGAGUUCAUUGGAUUUUUCGAUUGUAAACUCAGAUUCUUCCACAGUUAUGAAAAAGGAACUUAUGACAGAUAAUGAAAAAGAGAAUGAUUCUGUUUUCAACAGUGUUUUCAACAGUGACAGCCAUUUUAUUUGGAGUCAUAAAAGUAUGUUAUUUUUCUCAGAAUAUGAAGAACAUGAGAAAAAGUUUCAAAAACGGAGAUAUCAAAGCAAGGAGGCUAUGUUUCAAGCAUUAGCAGAGUCGUUCCAAAAGAAAGGUUAUAUAAAUGCUACCAAAAAUCAUAUGAAAAAUAAAUUUAAAUUAUUAAAGAAGAAAUGGGAUAUACAUAUUAAACGGACCACUGGAAAAAACAGCUCUGGAAAAGGCACAAAACCUCUUCCAUAUGAAGAAGAAAUGAUAAAAAUAUUUGAAAAAAGUCAUAGUGGAGUGCCACUUAUUGUGGCUAGCCGUAAUGGAAUUAUGUCGAAAAGAAAUUUUGCAAAACGUCUGUCAAAAUUUGUCUGAAAAUGAGAAUGAAGAGCAACAAGAGCAGAUUUCUUCUGUACUACAUUCACCGAAUCUCGUAACUUUCCGAUAUUAUCGACUAAUAGCAGCAGAUCAUCAAUGACGGGUAGCAGCUGCUCCUCUUUAACAAA